AGGACUCUUUAACCAAUGAGGCUCAUCCAGGAAGGUCAUGGAAGACGGGAAAUCCAGAGACCUGGAACGUGAAAGUCCAGAAAAGUAGGAGAAUGAGGGGUCUGGAUUGAAGGAGGCAAGACAAAUGGGGACACCAUGCCAGUCUGCAACCUGCCAAAGGUUCACUAAACUCUACUGCAGAAAAGCACAAGACACAUAAUAAGAACAAGAUUUCUAAGUAUUUCUGGGGGAAUUUGGACUGGAGAAAUGAUUGUGAAGUCUCUGGUGGAGGGGAGCAGAUGGAUCCAGGAGGUACGCAUCCAUUAUUUGUCACCUUGGAGUAGACUGGAGAAGAAUCUGAGUGUGCCAACACUUGUUCCUGUCAACAUCAGGCAUAAAGCAGUGGUGUUUUUAGAAGUGGGACAGGAAGAACAGGAGAAAGUCAUGAGAAGACUGAGGACAGGAACGGAAGGAAAAGAAAGACCAGUGCGAUGCCUACUGUUCAUUCAAGCCUGGAAACAUCGAAGCAGCUUCAUGGGACACAAAGGCUGCGAAGCAGAAGGACAAAGAAGAUGCAGGUGAGAAGACCUCGGUGGCGCUCACUCCAGUUCCAGGCCAUACCGUGUGAGCUACGUAUCUUCAAGGACUUCAGCCAGAUGGGGAACUGGAGAAAAAGCCGGGGAUCCAACGUUGCAUGACCUCCAAACAAUCAGAUCUGUCCCAUGUCUUAAAAGAAGAGUAUCACCACAGCAGCCCCACUGUGCACAUCCAGCCAGCCAGUUAAAGAGAUGAAGUUCAAACAGCCCCAAGAACUGAAGGUUUUGCCCAAGAACUUCCACUCAUCCUACGAUGGAGUGGACCACGAGUGAUGCCCGUCAGCAGCUGGAGCCUCACGCAGACACACACACACACUGAUGUUCAUAGGCUAGAUUGGUUACAGUUGUUCAUUAAAAUGAGCGUAAUCGUAUUUUUGCAUUAUUUUUUUAAUGCAAAAAUAUAAUUAGUAAAUGCUGUGAACAGUAAAGUGUUCUCAAUAUUAUAAAGAUCGAUGGCAUCGAACCAACAGCAAGCACACCAAAAGGAUUUACAGAAAAUGACCAGCAGGUGCUGCCCUGCACCUCCCUCAGCUGUGAUCACCUGGAGCUCCACUGGAGUUCAUCCUGCUGUGUUUAAAGACUCAUCACACCUGAGAUGGUCCAGUUAGUUUUAUACUCAAGACUGCCGACAUUUGAACAAAUUUCUGAGUAAAAAAAGGGGCUUUGCACCUUUGUAGCCAUAGAUUAUCAUUUAGCACAAGUAGCCUCUACCCAUCAAUACCGGUACCUGAUGUGAUUUUUUUUUUAAAAAUAAAAAGCCUUGAUGGCAGAUGCAACCCAAUAAGACUAAAUAAUUAUAUCAUAUUUUAUUAUUAAGCUCAGUUCUGCUUUCACUAAAUUUGCAGUUAGAUAAAUAACCGGGUGGGAAAAACCAUGGAUGACUCAAAACAUGCGCCAAGUUAAUGUAUUUAUUCUUAAUCAAAAGAAAAAGGCUUUAAUCAGCAAACAACGUAUCAACAACUAAACAACACAGGAUGCGACACAAUAGGCCACACAGACUCGGCGCUGGGGAAGCACACACGUCGCCCACCACACCGGCUUCCACUGAGCGGGAAUGCCGCCUCCACGGAGUCACCGACCUCACGACGCGAGGAGAAGUUGCCAGCGGCACCCCGCCGGUCACGUCCUACAAGUCACGAAGUAGAUCACACAGUAGAUCACACAGACUAAUGCGAGCCCAAGGAAGGGUGAGUGGAUGAGUGAGAAGUGAGACGUCACGUUCGAGAGCGCUCCACCGGCUCUGCUUAUGUGGCCCACUAAUUGGCCCCAGCUGUGAGCUCCACCCCACGUCACACUCAGCGGGUACAGGUACACACCUGCAAGAGAGAGACAGACACACCCACAGCAACGCAAACACAGCCCACGGACCUCACGGGUCGUAACACCCGUUUACUGAGAUGUGCGCCUUGAUUUGGAACCAGGUCCGAUCAACAAGUUCCCAGGCUCCUGUUAUUGAAGCUGUUCCAACAUCAACUGUAAAAUGUGAUCAAAUAUCUCCUCCGCUGCGAGGAAGAAGUCACAGGGCCCAGUUUGAACGAUCUAAGUGCGUGGCGUGUUUUGGGCGCAACAUGCAACAAACCAAUCAGAUUUGCGUGCGCUUGCACUUUGGCGCAUUGCUAUCAUGAUAGCAGAUGAAUGGCGCAGUAUAAAAACAUCAAGUGACUGAUUGAACAGCAGAUUAACAGCGAUCUAAAAACUGUCUCAUGAAGCCAGAUGUUCCUCUGCAGCUCUGUGUUCAUCAGUGAAGCAGACUGGAGUCUGGUAACAGACAGACAGACGCUGUCUCCUCUAUGAACCGUCUGGAUCCUCACUGCGCUGCGUUAUUAGAAACUAUGAUGAACCGGUCGGGGGGUCACAUCUCUCCCCUGCAGUGGUUUAAUUAUUUUGUGUUUUGUUGCGGAAGGAGUGUUUAAUGAUUUACUUUCAUGAUCAGAGAGGCUGCUAUCAGUCAUUUAAAACGUUUCCAUGUGCGCAAAAAAGUCGCAACAAAUAUCGUGGGGCAUUCAAGAAGCAAAAAAAUUAUAAACUUGACAUAACAGGACAGAGGAAACUCUCCAGAAGGCAGAGCAAUCAACUUUUAGCUUCUGAAAUAAUUGAGACGCUCUGAGGGGGCUCAGGAUCGAUCAGGAGGACGCUGCUUUACUCCAGUUUCACUGGACUGUGUGCGAGAAGAACUCAGAACAUCAAUUAACAUUAGAUCCUGACCGAUCCUGUCACUUCUCGGGAGAUUUUAAUAUUAAGUUGUUGCUGUGCCUCGUGCGUAAAGUGGAGUAAAAAAUAGCAAAAAACAAACAGUGAAAUACUGCGCCGCUGACUUGCCGUUUGGUCAAUGGUACAGUCGCUUUCCGUUGCUUCACAAUAGGAAUGCGCCAACAAUUUGCCUGAGUGACCACAUCUUAUUUUAACACUCCCAUGGACCACAAUCUGCUAUUUAAACAACAUGGGCGUUUGGUGUAAAAAUGACAACUGCGUCGGUUAAAACCUCUCACACACAGUCCAGGUUCAUCCAGAGAAACUGUUUGGAGUAAAGCAGCCGUCCUCCUGAUCAGUCCUGAGCGCCAUCAGAGCAUCGAAAUUAUUUCAGAAGCUAAAAGUUGAAUUCUAGUUCCUCUGCAAUUUCCUCUGCCCUGUCAUGUCAAGUUAGUGACUUCAGCCUUUGUAUUUUUUGCUGCUCAAAUAUCCCACUAUAUUUGUUGUGACUUGCGCACAUGACGUUUUAAUUGACCGACAGCAGCCUCUCUGGGAGAUGUGACCCACAACCGGUUCAUAGUUUCUAGAAACGCAGCACAGUGAGAAUCCAGACGGUUCAUAGAGGAGACAGCGUCUCAUGUCUUACUGUAUAAAGAGCUAAGCUCCCCCGUAGUUCGCACCCUGGGAGGACCUGAACUGGGGCGCACUGGCAUUUGGGUUCUCUAUCAUCACAACGCACUCUCACAUUGCAUUUGGAAACGGGCAGUUCAUCAAGGGGGGGUUCAAGCUGAAGUGUAGCUAUUUUGACUCAGCAGAGGAGAUCAUAUUUGAUCACAUCACUCAUCACAGAUGUUGGAUAAGCUUAAAUAAGGUGACUUCCUGGGAGGUUCCAAGUCAGUUUCCAAACUUUUUUUUUUAUUGCACCUGGUUUCAUAUGCUAUGUCAUAUCAAGGUACAUAGGCCUGUAAUAAACCAAUUAACAAUGAACUCAGAUUGAGACAUUUCAGCAUACUUACUUACUCAACCAAGGUAGCCUACUGUAAUAUCUUAGUUUGCUAAACAAACACACGUGUGUAGUCAAUUAUUUGCAAAAUAUAGGCUAUGAUUAUUAAAAUAAUUAAAUGAGUUACAAUUAUAUGAGUUGGUGUGCCUUGACGUUCUACUUUGACCUAUGAUGUGGAAACCUUUGCCUUAGUUUGUUUACAUUUCAGGAUAUCAAAGUUGAGUACAAAAGGAAAGUGUAACAUUUUCAGUGCCUGUAUUUCACCAUCUUUUUCAGUAUUUGUCAAGUGGCUAAGUUCUUUUGCAAUGCUUGGUCAUAGGGAUCAGCCCUGUCAACGGGCGGUUAUCUGAAGGUUACCUGUGUCCUGCAUAACGUCUUGAGGACCGUGAACACACCCAGGAUGCCCUUACCAUCAUCUGGAGACGAAGAAGCUGUGGGCAGCAUCAAAUCCACAGCGGAGGCCAAACAUUGCCGGAGAUAUGUGUUUACUAUUUCUUUGCAGAUGUACCUUUUAUGUCUUUUAAGAGUCACCAAUUACUUUUAAAACAUCUGAUUUCCAUAACUAUGACAAUCUAAUGAAGAUAGGAUAUAUGUGCAAAAGAUUUGAGGUGUUUCAUUUAGUAUUUUAACAUCAAUGUAUUGUUUCCAGUCAUUAAAACAACUGAAAAGCAUGACAACACCCACUUUCACCUACUCUUUAACAAUUAGAAUAUAAUAGUUUUGAAAAUAAACCACAUAAACAGAAAUUUUGAAAGAAUUUUAUUAUAUUCAAAAAUAAAAGAUAAAAUAUUUUGUGCAGAUGACAAGACUGUGAGGGAAAUAAGCUUACUAACAUCCCUCAUCCCAAAUUCUGAACAGAAACUAUUCAUCUUAACCAUUUUCACUUAAACAGAUACACAUAAUAAAUGGUCAGUGUAUAUGGGCAUGAAUGUGCGUGAGAGGGGGAGUACUAGGUGCAGCUGACGAGACUAUGACUGAAAUAAGCUUAAUAACAUUCCUCAGUCUUGUCAGCUGCAUCCCAUGACAAAAUUUGUCACUGUCAAGUAAAAAAAAAAACACAAGUAAAAGGCAACAGCUGUCAUCUUUAUGGCAGGGACCUGAAAAAGUCUAGUGCUGCAGACAGUCCAGCUACCUCUGUAUACACAGGCUUGAGGCACUGGAAAGAUGUGUUCCUCCACUCCCCAACACAGGCCUUACAUCCCAGCAGACUCCGGCAGCAGGAGGAAAACAUGGGCUGAGUCAUUGUGUCUUAAAAGGACAUGAAAAUGGGGAAAUAUUUUAAAAAUUACUGAAGGAUAUUACGCACAAUUUUUGGAAGCUUGCACUCAAACUGAAAUAAACACUGGUUGUGGUUGCCACACCGGAUAUAUGUAAGA